rnacentral:rRNA from 1 species
CUGGGCUUGACAUGUGCCUGACCGCCGUGGAAACACGGCUUCCCUUCGGGGCAGGUUCACAGGUGGUGCAUGGCUGUCGUCAGCUCGUGUCGUGAGAUGUUGGGUUAAGUCCCGCAACGAGCGCAACCCCCGUCGCAUGUUGCCAGCAUUCAGUUGGGGACUCAUGCGAGACUGCCGGUGACAAACCGGAGGAAGGUGGGGAUGACGUCAAGUCCUUAUGCCCCUUAUGUCCAGGGCUACACACGUGCUACAUUGGCCGGUACAGAGGGCAGCGAUACCGCGAGGUGGAGCGAAUCCCUCAAAGCCGGUCUCAGUUCGGAUUGCAGGCUGAAACUCGCCUGCAUGAAGGCGAAGUUGCUAGUAAUCGCGGAUCAGCAAUGCCGCGGUGAAUACGUUCCC